rnacentral:rRNA from 1 species
CCCGAAAACAAAUGAGCUAUAUUUGUUCAAUUUAGAAUUUAAAUUAAAAUGUUUAAAAAUUUUUUAAAGAAACAAAUAUAGAGAUUAAAUGUCAACGCAUUUGUAGAUAUCUGGUUUCUUUUAAAAGUAAAAAUACUAACCUUACAUAGGAAUAUUAUUUUUGGGAUAAGCUAAAAAUAAAAAUUGAUUAAAAAAAUUAAAAUUAAAAUUACUUUAGGUUUGACAGUGGCCUAAAUAAAAUCUGUUAUAAGAUAAAUAAAAAAAUAUAAAAAUUUUAAAAAAAAAAUCUACUAUAGAAAGAUAACGUAUAUAACAACAAUACUAAUAAAAAUGGUAGUACUAGUAUUUAUAAAAAUUAAUUUUUCAAUAAACAUAAACUAAUUUUAAGGAACUCAGCAAAAAUGACAACGACUGUUUAACAAAAACAUAGCUUCUUGAAAUUAAAUGAAGUCAGACCUGCCCAGUGUAAAGACAUAAACGGCCGCGAAAGUGCUAAGGUAGCAUAAUAAUUUGUCUUUUUASUGGAGACUAGUAUGAAAGGAGUAACGAAGUCAAGCUGUCUCAAUUUUAAAAUUAAAAACUAAUUAAAAAGUGAGAAUUCUUUUAUUCUUGUGAAGGACGAGAAGACCCUAUAGAGUUUUAGUAAAAACUAAUAUUUUUAUUAGCAUUACUUUUAUUGGGGCAAUAAUAGAACAAAAAAAAUCUAUUAUAUAUAUAACCUCAAAGAGAAUAAAACAAACUACCUUAGGGAUAACAGCGUAAUUUUACCAGAGAGAUCUAAUUGAAGGUAAAGUUUGCGACCUCGAUGUUGGACUAAGAUAACUUUUAUAUGCAGCAGUAUAAAAAAGUAAGCCUGUUCGGCUUUUAAAAUCUUACAUGAUCUGAGUUCAGGUCGGCGUAAGCUAGUCCGGUUUCUAUCCUCACAAAAAUAUAAUUAUCUUCUAAUUACGAAAGGAACUUAAGAU